rfam:Alphacoronavirus 1 strain 23/03, complete genome.
ACUUUUAAAGUAAAAGUGAGUGUAGCGUGGCUAUCUCUCAUCUUUUUCUUUAACUAGCUUUGUGCUAGAUUUUGUCUUCGGACACAAACUCGAACUAAACGAAAUAUUUGUCUUUCUAUGCAACUAUAGAGGACAAGCGUUGAUUAUUUCUUUCCAGUUUGGCAAUCACUCCUUGGAACGGGGUUGAGCGAACGGUGCAGUAGGGUUCUGUCCCUAUUUCGUAAGUCGCCUAGUAGUAGCGCGUGCGGUUCCGCCCGUACCCGUUGGUGAGCUCAGGUUCCGCCCUGAACCUCCCUCGCCGGCCGCCAGGAGAAUGAGUUCCAAACAAUUCAAG